rfam:Toxocara canis scaffold1210, whole genome shotgun sequence.
GUGGCAGUAGCUCAGCGGUAGAGCCUUCGCCUGGUAUGCGAAGAAACCCGGGUUAGACUCCCAACUGCUUCU